rnacentral:rRNA from 1 species
AUUGAACGAUGGCGGCAGGCCUAACACAAGCAAGACGAGCGAGCGGCGGACGGGUGAGUAAUGUCUGGGAAACUGCCUGAUGGAGGGGGAUAAAUACUGGAAACGGUAGCUAAUACAGCAUACCAUGAGAUGUGCCCAGAUGGGAUUAGCUAGGAGGUGGGGUAACGGCUCACCUAGGCGACGAUCCCUAGAUGGUCUGAGAGGAUGACCAGCCACACUGGAACUGAGACACGGUCCAGACUCCUACGGGAGUCAGCAGUGGGGAAUAUUGCACAAUGGGCGCAAGCCUGAUGCAGCCAUGCCGCGUGUAUGAAGAAGGCCUUCGGGUUGUAAAGUACUUUCAGCGUGGAGGCGUUACCCGCAGAAGAAGCACCGGCUAACUACGUGCCAGCAGCCGCGGUAAUUC